UGCGGGGUGGUGCAACGGUAACACGUCAGGCUUUGGACCUGAAAUUGUAGGUUCGAUUCCUACCCCCGCAG
rnacentral:tRNA from 1 species